UUUACUCAUUUUUUCAUAUUUUACUAGUAAAAUGACUUCAUAUUUAUUUUUAUUUAUUUGAGAGAUUCAAUCCUCUUUUUUUUUUUCUAAAUUAAAGGAGGGUUUCUCUUGUAGUGUCAAUAAUAAUGACAUAACCUAAUGCCUCGCUAAGGGGGGGCUUACUUGGCAACUAGAGAGGAAAUAUCAAAGAAACCUUCUUCAAUUCUUUCUUUCACUUUUUUUUC
rnacentral:lncRNA from 1 species